rnacentral:rRNA from 1 species
GUCCAGCGAGCCGCGGUAAUACCGGCAGCUCGAGUGAUGGCCGAUCUUAUUGGGCCUAAAGCGUUCGUAGCCGGCCACGCAAGUCCAUCGGGAAAUCCGUCAGCCCAACUGACGGGCGUCCGGUGGAAACUGCGUGGCUUGGGACCGGAAGACCCGAAGGGUACGUCUUGGGUAGGAGUGAAAUCCCGUAAUCCUGGACGGACCGCCGAUGGCGAAAGCACUUCGGGAAGACGGAUCCGACGGUGAGGAACGAAAGCCAGGGUCUCGAACCGGAUUAGAUACCCGGGUAGUCC